GACGAACGCUGGCGGCGUGCUUAACACAUGCAAGUCGAACGGAGAGGCCCUGCUUUUGUGGGGUGCUCGAGUGGCGAACGGGUGAGUAACACGUGAGUAACCUGCCCUUGACUUUGGGAUAACUUCAGGAAACUGGGGCUAAUACCGGAUAGGAGCUCCUGCUGCAUGGUGGGGGUUGGAAAGUUUCGGCGGUUGGGGAUGGACUCGCGGCUUAUCAGCUUGUUGGUGGGGUAGUGGCUUACCAAGGCUUUGACGGGUAGCCGGCCUGAGAGGGUGACCGGCCACAUUGGGACUGAGAUACGGCCCAGACUCCUACGGGAGGCAGCAGGGGGGAAUAUUGCACACUGGGCGGAAGCCUGAUGCAGCAACGCCGCGUGCGGGAUGACGGCCUUCGGGUUGUAAACCGCUUUCGCCUGUGACGAAGCGUGAGUGACGGUAAUGGGUAAAGAAGCACCGGCUAACUACGUG
rnacentral:rRNA from 1 species